ACCAACCAGUCCAACCCAACCAAUCAGAUCGGAUCCCACUCCCGACCCGUUCGCCCCGAGCGUCGUCCUCUCCCCCGACCCAACCGGCUUCCUUCCUCCACGAGCGCGAGCCGGGAGUGACGCGACCGGCGAGCGCGAGCAGGCGCGGAGCGCGGCCUUGGGCGGGGCGCGGCGACCCUGGGGCGCAGCGGCGCGGCGAGCGGUGAGGGCCCCGGGCGCGGCGGCGUGUGCAGGGAGUCAGCGGCGGCGCGCGGGUGUAGGGAUCAGGCGAGCGGCGAGGGGGAUCAGGUGCUGCGAGCGCUAGCGCGAAGGAGAAUCGAGGCAAGGCAGUGCAGGGGAGAAACAAGGCGAGCGCGAAGGAGCAGGCGCGCAGCGCGCGGGCCGGCGGCACGGCGACGCGCAGGUGCUUUUGUCGGCGUCCCUCCCCAAAAUUUUUGCAUAUCAGUAAUUCCUACUCCGCACCACAGUGGAUCCUCACGUUUGCAGAUCUGGAAGAGAAAUUGGCUGCACGCAUGGUAGCAGUCCCCCGUGAUGCUUCCAGUCUCAAUGCCACAGUUAGCAUUGGAUUUUCCUGGAGAGAGAGGAAAAACUGUGGAUUACUGAAAAAUCGAGAGGGUUCAGGGGGCUGGGGUUCCUUCUCAAUCCCACACACUGCAACUCAGUAUUUGUGUGCAUGAUUUGGUAGGGGGAAUAUGAUUACUGUUUCGGGUACUGGAUUACUGAGAUACUAUUAGCAUGUUUGGAACAUAUUAAUACUAUCAUGAAUCCUAUGUAUUGCGGAUGUCAGAGAUGCUGCACUAAUCAAUGCUAUUAGCAGAUUACUGAAGGUUUACUGAUUAUUACUAGUGUGCGUAUACUGUUCCGAUUACUCGAUUACUGAGAUAUUAUUUGUGUGCAUGGAAUGGCUUAACAAACUGUUGGUUACUGGGUGUUCAUGGAUUACUGCUUACGACAGAGAUGCUUAGAUUGGUACAGCCCUUUUGUCAGCCUUGUCAGUAACUGUGUGCUGCAACCCCGGUAUCAGUGCCGCUAUCAGCCACAGCUCCUCAUCAACCAUCUCCAGAAUCAACAUAUGCUGGUGGUGCUGCCAUCAGUGCAAGCUUGUGGAGGCCACCAGAAUUGACUGCUGCUUGAGACACAGGUUACUGAGACUUCAUGGAUGAUAUGAGGUAUCAUCCUGUUAUGGAGCCUCCAACUUGUGCCGAACCUGAGCAAAUGAUCUCACGCAUGGCGAUGAUUUUGGAUCCACAUUGUGUUCCAGACAUUGAGAUGCAAUUUGAGUCGCUGGAGUUUUGUUGCCAGUCCUCAUUCAAGAAGAACAGAAAAGAGAGGAAAUCCGCAGGACUUUUGUUGCACGUAUGAAUGGAUGCACAAGGUAAAAAAUGAAGCUGAUGCUAGAUGAGCAAAAAGUCAAAGCGCCAUGGAUGUAAUUUAUUAUAUGUUGAACCUGAGCCAUCAUGUAAUUAAGUAAUACCGCAGAGGAAUGUUCGUCAGUAAUUGAAGCAAUAGGAAUGUUCAUCAGUAA